rnacentral:ncRNA from 1 species
ACAGUGUCGCAUCGUAAUUCCCCUCGUCGCGAGGACCGUUGAUUCGCCAAUUGGUCCUCGCGCUUGGUUGAAAAGCCAGUGGCGCGAAGCUGUGCGUUGGAUUAUGACUGAACCUCUCCGUCAGAAUCCGGGCUCGCCGACGCAUGCGCUCGUCGCCCGUUUGCCGACCCGCAGUAGGGGCCAUUUGGCCCCCAAGGGCACGUGUCGUUGGCUAAGCCGUCGUGGCGGAAGGGUCACGGUGGCCGCCUUGAAUUACAAUUCCGAUCGAGCGCGAGCGAAUCCUUUGCAGACGACUUAAAUACGCGACGGGGGGUAUUGUAAGGGGUAGAGUGGCCUUGCUGCCACGAUCCUCUGAGAUUCAGCCCUUUGUCGCUCCGUCC